UUCUCAGUGGUCUCAUCUCGUGCUAUUGAUUCUGUCUUCCUGACAAAGCCAUUGUUGCUCUUUGGUCGUUACCUUCUUAUUAUAUCAGCUGAGUUUGUGUAUAAAUCAUAUAAAGGAUGAUUAAAUGGUAGUUUGGGAUCAAUGAUUAAAAAAUAGGUAGCGAAAAGAAUGAAAUGAAAAAUUGUUUUCAAAGAGUUGGUAGAGGAAAGUGUGAGCCAUAGAUGGCAAUCCAAAAGCGGGAAGAUAUAUAUUUAACUUUUUACAAUGAAAGAGACUUUGAGAAGACAUUAAGUACAAGUAGAACACUAUAAUAAUAUGUAGUAUGCAAAAAUGAAUUAAAUGGUAAUAAUAGAGAUGAACCAAAAGGUACUAUCAACAAACAAGACGUUGAAUCAUAUAAUUACAUGUGAAAUUAUGGACACGAGAUUACUUGGCUUUGUUUGUCUUAUACUACACAACACUAACCUCCGUACACAUCACACACACGUGUAUUUGAUCUCUCAAACUCAGGGUCAUAUAGUUAGGCCAACAUUAAAAUAUAAUUU
rnacentral:lncRNA from 1 species